UUUAAGUGCAAUUAUGAGUUUCCGCACCCAACUUUGAUUGCCCGUCUUAUUUAAAUUUUUUUAUAAUUAGUAUAUUUGUUGUUAUGAGAUGAUAAAAUAUGAAUAAUACUUUACUCGUGACUUAUGUUUUUAAUUUUUUUUAAAAAAAUUUAAACAAGACGGACGAUCAAAGUUGGACGUGGAAAAAAAUGGCUGCCUUUAAA
rfam:Oryza rufipogon genomic scaffold, chr02